rnacentral:rRNA from 1 species
UACGUAGGGGGCAAGCGUUGUCCGGAUUUAUUGGGCGUAAAGAGCUCGUAGGCGGUUCGUCACGUCGGCUGUGAAAUCCCGAGGCUCAACCUCGGGUCUGCAGUCGAUACGGGCGGACUUGAGUACUGCAGGGGAGACUGGAAUUCCUGGUGUAGCGGUGAAAUGCGCAGAUAUCAGGAGGAACACCGGUGGCGAAGGCGGGUCUCUGGGCAGUAACUGACGCUGAGGAGCGAAAGCGUGGGGAGCGAACAGG